CAGCAGCCGCGGUAAUACGUAGGGUGCGAGCGUUAAUCGGAAUUACUGGGCGUAAAGCGUGCGCAGGCGGUUCGCUAAGACAGAUGUGAAAUCCCCGGGCUUAACCUGGGAACUGCAUUUGUGACUGGCGAGCUAGAGUAUGGCAGAGGGGGGUAGAAUUCCACGUGUAGCAGUGAAAUGCGUAGAGAUGUGGAGGAAUACCGAUGGCGAAGGCAGCCCCCUGGGCCAAUACUGACGCUCAUGCACGAAAGCGUGGGGAGCAAACAGGAUAGAUACCCCAGUAGUCCCUGUCUCUUAUACA
rnacentral:rRNA from 1 species